GACAAUACAACAGUAAGAAGAAGUAAAAGAAUCCAUUACACAGUUCAUGGAAGACUAAAGAUAUGACCAAAUCUUUUAUGUACAAACCUGCUUUGUAUCAUCUCAAUCAUAGCUCCCUCAGGACUCUAACAGUUGGUGGACAAUCUGUUCUCUGACCAGCCAGCGAGUAAUACGCUAGUAUAUGAGCAGGAUGCUCCACCUCACUUACCUCUCCCAUUUCAUCCACUUCCGGGACUCUUCUUGCUUGAAUCAGCUCUAUGUUCCAGUACGGUCUAGACAUUACCCUCAGAUCUUGCCCUGUCUCUGAAGCUCUGUACCCUUGCACCCACAGGUAUCUCAGCGAAGGCAGCUCCAUCACCGCUGCAGCGAUCGCUCUCUCGCUGAAGCAACACCCUCUCAUCUCCAGCUUCUGCAUCUUCGGACAACACCCUUCUCUCGAGAACUCCACCAAUCCUUUGUCUGUCUCACCAACUUUACCGAGAAGCAUCCAUCUCACGUUUGGACUAUACUGUCCUACGUAGCCUAACCCCACGUCCGUCAAGCCGCCUGGCCUGAGAUAGAACGCGAACCGUCUGAGUUUCUCGCAUCCCAUCAAGAGUGAUCUGACACCACUAUCCAGCGGCAAAUCUGCUACUAUUCUCUCUUCCUGGUCGAGCAAGACAAGGCGGAAGUCGCGGAGGUUUUUCAGAUACGCGCCUAUGGUUCGGAGACACUCGUUGGUUAUGUCUGUCACGUACACCGCCAUGUACUCUAGCUCCUUGCAGCCGUGAGCCAAAGCCGUUAGUCCUCUCUGUGUGACUAAAUAUCCCAAGUCCUCAUUCCCAUCUUCAUCUGCACCUCGUCUUUCGUCAUCCAUCUCUUCUUCAUCGGCACCCCGUUCGAUCCUCAGCCGCUUUAACUUCUUACAGUACUUUGCAAGAACCUCUAGACCGUUGUCUCCUAUUACAUUCCUCGUCUGAGAUAUACACCAAGAACUUGUCAGCCUUUACAUACAUAAUAGUUCACAAAGAAGAAAAAGUUACCUCAAGAACUUCCAGAUUAGAACACUUUUGGAUUAGUUUACAAUGAUCAUUAGUUUCGAGAAACGCAUAGAGCAGAUCCAGCUUCCGGAGUUGAGCAGCGAAUGGAAACAGUAUCGGCAUUUCGUUAGCUCCCAAGUAAGGGAGGCCCAGACGAGUUAGCUUUGGAGGGAAAGUCAGUUUCAAGUACUUCUCAGGCGUUUCUGGAUCCUCAUCCAAGGCGCCACCGCGAAACUCCUCGAGGUUAACAGCAGCGUUAAAGAACCCGACUAGCUCCAGCAUCUCAAUGUCACCGACCUUGACAGAAACCAGAGAGCGGUGGCAGUUCCUAGCUAUGGUUUCCAAGUCUUUGGGGCUGAUUUUUGUAAACUCAGUCAUGUAGAAGUUUAACACCUCGAGAGACGUGUUGUGCAGGGCAAGCUCGUGUAGCCAUUUACCAUCCUUUUCAAGGAAAGAACUGUCGUCCAUCACCAACGUUUUGAUUUUCCUGUCACAGACAACAUACAGAACCAUGAAGAAAGUGAGAAAACAACUCAAGAUAAAUUAGAAUUUUCAACUUAAACUGCAUAUAUACAACAGCAACAACCAAGCCAAUACUAUUUUGUAAACGACUUGAUCAUAAAUAUGAACUCCCAUGGAAUGGAAAUAGUAAUGAUUCCUUACUACACAUUAUAAUCAAGUCUUAAUGCAAGAACGAGAUUAAUGAACAUGAACUCCCUGAGAUAACAUUUCUGCAGAGGGCAGAUAUAUUGGAUUUUCAAUUUAAACUGCAUAUACACAACAUCAACCAAGUCAAUACUAUUUUGUAAACUGCAUAUACCAAGUAUUGAUUUCCUUACCAGACUUUAUAAUCACGUCUUUUUAAACAUGGGACCUAAUGCAAGAACAAGUUCGUUAAAAUGAACACAUAGAGGCAAUCUUUCUGCAGAUAACAGACAUAAUCAAUCGAUCGUUUUUGCUAAUCAGACAUAAACAAAAGUGCAAAGUAAAGCAGGAAACCAAAUAAAGUAAGGUUAAGAGGUAAAAGUCGGUUGAAUAAUUCUGCAAUCUAUUUAUAAUCAUCACAAGUGUAAAGUAAGGAGGUCCUUUAUACAAGUAGGCAUCAAAGUUUCUACUUAACCAAUUGAACUAAAGAAACAAUCUUUAAGAUACGAUUCUUUGUAAAAGUAAACACCCAAAAUGCAGCAAUCUUGUUAUUAUCAAGCGGCGUCGUUAUGAAGAUAAAGAGAGAUGCAAAAUUAUGUGAUAAACCUCAAGAGACAAUCUUUCUAUGCAGAUGCCAUAUAUAAUCAAGUCAACACUAUUACGUAAACGACUAGAUUAUAAACAUGAACUCCCAAUGGAAUGAAAAUAGUAUUUGAUUCCUUAUUAUAUACACUUUAUAAUCAAGUCUUUAUAAACACGGCACCUAAAUGCAGAGAAGGAGAUUAAUAGACCCUAAACUCCCACUCCGCAGAGACAAUCUCUCUGAAGAUGACAAAUAAUCAAUCAAAUCAAUCUCAUACAUAAACAAAAGUGCAAAGUGAAGUAACAAAUCAAGUAACGUAAGGUAACUAACCAAUUGAGCUAGAGAAUCACUCUUUUUAACUAUACAAUUCUUUUGUAAAGACCUAAAACGCAGCAAAUCUUGUUCUUAUCAAAAACGGCGUCGUUACGAAGAGUAAUCUUGUGUUAGUUACCUGCAGUGUCUAACGACGCUCAAGAGCCCAUCGCUAGAGAACCCCAAGCACUUAUCAAGCUUCAGAGCCUCGAGCUCAUCCCCCCUCGCUCUCGCCAAAACAUCAAGAUCCAAGUCGUUAACGAUCAUCCUCCUGAAAUGCACGGACCUGAUCCUCCGCAGCGACAAGGCGAUCUCGUUCACCCAGGGGGUAACAAACCCUCCCCAAUUCUCCGGGAUGAGGUUGAACAUCGCGGCGCGGGGCUUCCCUUUGAGCUUGAGCGACCUCAGGUUCGGGAACCGAGCGCUGAGACGAUCGGGUGCGGAGGCGUAGCAUAGGGCCAUGGUGACGUGGUAUCUCGUCUCGGAGUCCGCUCUGAGCCACGUUCGGUUGACGAGGGAGGCGGAUUCGCGGUCUUUGGGGUCGGUUAAGUAAGGCAUGACUAGCGAGAUGACGUCAUCGGCGUUCCGCGGGGUUGAUCGAAGCUUCUUGGUAUCGGGAUCCUCCAUCGUCAAGAUUCGAUUCGUUUCGUCGAGCAACGGAUUGAAAGGAGGAGGAGGAGGAAGAAGAAGAAGGCAGAGAUUCGAGUAAGCAAGGACACGCGUCGGAAGAAGAGAUUGGGAGAGGAAUCAAUAUAAGAGAAUCUCUCUACUCUGUUGUUUGUUGAUAAUAUUUUAUUUUAUUUUAUUUUGGGAUCUAGUGGGCACACAAAAUAAUAUUUGAUUUUUGACCUUUAUAUUAUACAGUGUGUUACUGAAGUUAGACGACGAUAUUUGUAUCAGAGUGAUUUAUUUUCCAUUAUUAAUAGUUAACGUCUUAUAACUUUUGCGUACAUGUGGGUGAUUUAUUUUCCAUUAUCUAUCUAUUAUCUAUUCUAUUAAAAGAGAACCAUUCUAAAAAAAUCUACUUAUACAAGGUUACUGCACCCUUUCAUUUAAGUAACAAUUAUUUGGUUUUACCAUCUAUUAGCCCAAUAACAAAAUAUAACCUUAUGUUUAGCUAACUAUAUUUAUUACGCCUUAUCUAAACCAGUAGUAUAACAACUUUAUAUUUGAUAGACCAAAACAUGUUUUACACGAUAAUAUAAAACACGAUACAUGUUAUACACAAGACACUAUACACUAUAUAGUUUAUUCAUUGAGUCCUGCUCAUGUUGAUGACAGUUAUCUGUACAAUAAUCAUAUCACAUGUAUUCCUCUCUUAGACCCAAACGCCAAAUGGCAAUGCCUUCAUUCAAUUGAAAGACCAGAUCAUACCCUAACCUCGAUGAAACAACACAUUCAUUCUCAAUCUGCCAAAAUGAUUCAGAGCAUAACAUUACAUAUACUGUAUCAUUUUGAAUAAAACUUAUCUGGUAAAAUACUGUAUCAUUUUGAAUCAAUCUAAUAUGGCAAAGUAUUAGUGCUUAUACCAAGUCUCUUCUUUGAGAGGGUUCUUAGUUCGUUCUUAAUCUGAGAAGUUCGUUCUUUAUUAAUUCAUUCUUAUCUAUCAAAGUUAAAGUCUGUUUUUAAGAAAUCGGAUCAAGUUUAUAAUAACCACGUUAUCCUAACUAUAUAUAGUUAUAAUAUUUUCAAAUUUAGUAUUAACGACCAUAAGUUAUUAAUUUGCUAGCAUAAAUUUUUCUAACCUACUUUAACUGAAUAGAUUUUCGAAACAAUCUGUUCGAUACAAUUUUAAAUACAUAAAAACCGAAAUCUUAGAAUACUUGAUCUACAAGUUUCGUAUUAACUACAAUACAUGAUAAUUUUCCGUGCAAAAAAAUUAUGUUACCUACUUUAACUGGAUAAACAUUAUCGUGUAGAAUUUAUAUUCCAAUAAUAUUCCUUAUUCCUCCAACUAAAAAAUCAUAUCAGAUCUUAAUAUUCAACCUUAAAUAUGCGUAUCUUGUGCUAAGAACUGACCCAAACCCGAAAAAAUUUAUGAAUACCUAUUAGAUUCAAAUUUCUAGGAUCCGAAGGACCCAGAUCCGAAAAAAAUUGGACCAAACCCAACCCAAAGACUCAAACGUCCAGGCCUAAGUGUAUGAAUGAGCAUUCAGGUACCCAUUUGGGUACGAGUCAGUUCUUUAGGGUAUUAGAAUUUUUGAGUUCUUGGGUAGGGUUCGAGUCGGUCCUCCCAGAUACGGAUAUGUUCGGUUCUAAUGUAUAUGAACCUGAAAAUAACCAAAUAACCAAUGUAUCUGAAACAUGUUUGUCAUGUUUGUACUACCUGAACCGACCUAAUUUUAAAAUAUAACUAAUAUAUAUUUACAUUUGGAUAUCUUAGAAUACUCAUUCGGUUUUCGGUUUAGGUCGGGUAAUUUUUUUUUAAUCUGAAUUCUUCGAGUCCUCGACAUUUGGAUCCAAUUAGGUAUUUGAAAUAUUUUCGGUUAUAGUUCAGUUUGAUUCCUUUUGGAAUCGAGUCAAUACGAGUCCAUAAUUCAAAUAACCCUAAAAUACAUGUAAUUUGAGUACGUAAUAGUCUAGCUCAGUUUGGAUAUUUAGGAGCAAAAAAAAAAUUGAAAGUACCCGACCGAAAGACGAAAAAUACCUAAAAUACUAAUUCAUAUCCAACUUUAUUUAUAACCCAAACAAAAUCCGCGCUUUUGAAGCGCGGGUAAAAAUCUAGUUAAUAGUUAACAUCUUAUAACUUUUGCGUACAUGUGGACAAUGAACAAACAUGUGUACACAGAUAAUUAUAGCAUCCAUUUGUAGAACAAUUGUGAUAAUAUACAUGUGUACAUGUAUAACAACAAGCUCAUUUUAGAGUUACACAAAACAAUGAAAAUUCUAGAUAUAUUCAUGAGAAGUGAAAUAUACGAGUCUCAAAUUUUGAAGUUAACAACGACGGUGUCUUUGUCACCGUCUUCUUCAUGCUCUCCUCCAUUCUUGAUCCAAGGACGAAGACGAAGCAGCCGAAGAAUAAGAAGACAUGGCUCAAGUAGAACUUGUAUGGUUUCGACCCACGAGUCUAUGACUACAAGUCUACAAUUCUAAAACCUGCAAACCAUUUCAAAACUGUUCUGUUUCAGCUGUAUCCAUUUUUUUAUUCUCUUUGAUUUCAACACUCUGUUGUUUACGUCUCCGCAGCCAUCUCUAUCAUAUACGUCGAUGGCAUCUACAUCUCUGUCAUUAUCUAUGUCUCCGCCUUCUUCUACUUCUCCGCCAUCGUCUAUACGUCGAUGACGCCUACGUCUCCGCUAUUGUCAAUGUCACCAUUACACCACCAUUCAACCAUUAGCUUUGACAUAUCUCAAAAAACAGAUCAAAGAGUAGAGAUAAUAAUUUAAGGUAACAUUUUUGAAAAAACAAAUCUAGAGAAGUGGAUUUUAUUUUACAAAAAAAAUGGAAGAGAAAGAAAACGAAGAAGAAAGAGAAUGAUACUCACAAUGUCUUUUGGAUUUAUUGGUUAAGAAAUAUAUUAAAUUAAUUGAGAAAUAAAAAAGAGUAAUUUAGGAAUUUGGUGUGGUCUAUAUGUGAUGUUUAUUCUUGUUUCUUGUCCAAAACUGCCCUGAAAGCAAAAAGUGUUUUAUUAUGUUAUAAAAAACUUGAAACUGUUUUUGAAUUUGAAUGUAAUUCUUUCCUUGUAUUAUAUCAAGUAAAGCCAAUCUCUUUUGCUAAACGACUAUGUAAACAGAAUAUUAACAAGAUGUGGUUAUGCAAUGGAUGAUUACGUACGGCGUGAUGAUUAUUUAUUAGCUUAAUUCUGCGAUUAAUUUAAAACUUUUCUGGGGUUAAGGACAACGUUUUCUGUUGUUGAUAGCUAAAAGUAGUUUCCUGGUGGCCCAUAAUAGUUGGGGUUAAACUAUAUGAUUGUUAUGUAUGUAUGGAGCUAUGUGAAUUAUUAAAAAAAAUUGCAUGAUGAUGUAUAUAAAUCCAUAGAUGACUUCAUCAAACUGGCCAAUAAAAUACUAUCAAAAUUGAAUAUAAUUUGUGAAUUUUUAUGUAAAUAAAAGUUUCAUUUAAAUCAAUCAUAAAUUUUUAUGUUCUAAAAAUUGGUUUAGGUAUUGACUAUUGUCCGACUAGGCGGCACGGCAAAUUGGACCUAAAGGAUUUUUAUAGAAUGAUUUUUAAAAAAAAAAAUCGGUCUAAGCAUUCAAAAAAAUUAGUCUAGUCUUCCACCUAAGCAAUAAUCUUCUAUAAAGCAUUUAUUUUACCGCCUACAAUUUUUCGAAGAUUGGUCUUGGCAGUCCCGGCUCUAACCUAUGGCCACAUUGAUAAUUGCUAUGGAUCCAUGGAUCCAAACAAAAUUUUGGUAUUAUUUUACUAAUUAGAAAAUUCUAUUUUAAUUUGUUAAAUUAUCAAUUAGCUGGUGAAUUUAUAACAAAAAAGCUCAUGAUUAACAAAACCAAUUUUAAAUACAACAGGACAAUAUUUAUUUUUUUUAAACUUCACCGUUCUUAAUUUUUUUACAACAAAACCUAAUUUACACUUAAAGGUCCAUUUUUUUCUUUUAAUACCACAAAUUUUUUUUGCUCCAAUUUAAAGAAAUGCACUAAUUUUUUUGUUAAAAGGGUGUCUAUUUUAUGUUUGGCGUAAGGCCAUUAAAAUUUUUAAGACGGCACUGGUCUUGGUGUUAGGUUGAGAAACCAAAAUUGGGGAAGCUUUGCAACUUGAUGGUUCCUUGUGCUUUGACAGCACUUGACCAUUGGUCUCCACAAGUUAAAGUAAGUCCUUUGGUGUUGUAAUGGCAUUUUUCUCUUAUUAGUUGUAAACAUGAGGCCAUAUAGUGAAUGAGAAUAUGAUGUUCUUUGUUUGCUUUUGAUGACAGGGGCAGGGCAGGGUAAUAAGCUUUAUUCAUCUAAGCUAAAAAUGGUGAUCUUGGAUUGUAUGGAAACGUGUGGUUCUUGAUGCUUGUUGCCAGAAUAUAGCCUCAGAUGAUGAGAUGUGGAUACAUGUGGUGGAGUUAUCUGUGCUUCUUGUUACUAAACUCCAUCCAAAUAAUCCCGAAACAGUACAAGUUUUGUGAUCAAUCUUAUAUGUACUUUACCUUUGAAUGGUAUAACAACUACACCAACAUAAACUCUUGAAACCAUAUACACAAUUGAAAAUGAAAAAAUAGAGUCGCUGCACAUCAGAAACACCAUGACUUAUAUUUCACUGUAGUCCAAUGUAGAAAAAAAGUAAUGCCCAGGCCCCCCCUUACAAACAAGAAUCUAUGUAAUCUCUCAACACCACUAACAAUACAACAGUAAGAAGAAGAAGUAAAAGAAUCCAUUACACAGUUCAUGGAAGACUAAAGAUAUGACCAAAUCUUUUAUGUACAAACCUGCUUUGGAUCAUCAAUCAUAGCUCCCUCAGGACUCUAACAGUUGGUGGACAAUCUGUUCUCUGACCAGCCAGCGAGUAAUACGCCAGUAUAUGAGCAGGAUGCUCCAUCUCUCUCACAUCUCCUAGGUUCACUUCCGGGACUCUUCUUGCUUGAAUCAGCUCAAUGUUCCAGUUCGGUCGAGACAUUACCCUCAGAUCUUGUCCCGUCACCGAUUCUCUGUACCCUUGUACCCACAAGUAUCUCAGCGAAGGCAGUUUCAUCACCGCUGCAGCGAUUGCUCUCUCGCUGAAGCAACACCCUCUCAUCUCCAGCUUCUGCAGCUUCGGACACCCUUUUGAGAAUUCCAUUAGUCCUUCGUCUGUUUCACCAACGUAGCCAAGAAGCAUCCAUCUCACGUUUGGACUGUACUGUCCGAUGUAUCUUAACCCCACGUCUGUUAAGCCGCCUGGCCUGAGAUAGAAUGCAAACCGUCUGAGCUUCUCGCAUCCGAUCAAGAGGGAUCUGACUCCGUUGUCCAGCGGCAAAUCUCUUAUCCUCUCUUCCUGGUCGAGCAAGACAAGGCGGAAGUCGCUGAGGUUUUUCAGAUACGCGCCUAUGGUUCGGAGAGACUCGUUGCUUAUGUCUGUGACGUACACCGCCAUGUAUUCUAGCUCCUGGCAGCCCUUAGCCAAAGCCGUUAAUCCUCUCUGUGUGACAAAACCUCCCAAGUCCUCAUUCCCUUGUUCAUCUGCACCCCAUCUUUCGUCCAUCAUCCCUUCUUCAUCUGCACCCUGUUCGAUCCUCAGCCGCUUCAACUGCUUACAGCACUGUGCAAGAACCUCUAGACCCUUAUCUCCGAUCACAUUCCUCGUCUGAGAGAUACACACCAAGAACUUGUCAGCCUUUACAUACAAAAUAAAUAGUUCAUAAAGAAGAAAAAGUUACCUCAAGAACUUCCAAAUUAGGACACUUUUUGAUUAGUUUACAAUGAUCAUUAGUUUCGAGAAACGUAUAGAGCAGAUCCAGCUUCCGGAUUUGGGCAGCGAAUGGGAAUAUCAUUGGCAUUUCGUUAGCUCCAAAGUAAGUGAGGCCCAGACGACUUAGCUUUGGAGGGAAAGUGAGUUUGAUGUACUUGUCAGGUGUUUCAGGAGUAAAGGCGCCACCACAAAACUCCUCAAGGUUAACAGCAGCGUUAAAGAACCGGACUAGCUCCAGCAUCUCAACGUCACCGACCUUGACAGAGACCAGAGAGCGGUGGCAGUUCCUAGCUAUGGUUUCCAAGUCUCUGGGGCUGAGUUUUGUGAGCUCGGUCAUGUACAAGUUUAACACCUCGAGAGACGUGUUGUGCAGGGCAAGCUCGUGUAGCCAGUUACCGUCCUUUUCAAGAAAUGAACUCUCUUCCAUCACCAACGUUUUGAUAUUCCUGUCAAAGAAAACAGACGGAACAAUGAACCAAGUGAGAAAACAACUCAACAUAAAAUUGCAUAUGCACAACAGCGACAACCCAUUCAAGGAUACAUGAACUCGCAGAGACAAUCUUUCUAUGCAAAUGACAUAUAUAAUCAAGUCAACGCUAUUAUGUAAACGACUUUGAUUAUAAACAUUGAACUCCCAGUGGAAUGAAAAUAGUAUUUGAUUCCUUACUAUACUUUACAAUCAAGUCUCCAGAAACACGGCACCUAAUGCAAUGAACGACAUUAUAAACAUUGAACUCCCAGAGACAAUCUUUUUUGAUAGAACCCCCCGCCAAAGUUUCUAAUUCCACAACUGAUAAUUUUCUCAAGUUGCAGGCAUAACAAUGGCAAGUGUAAAGUGUAGCAAGGUCCUUUAUACAAGUAGGCACCAACGUUUCUACUUAGUCAACUUGUUCUUAUAAAAACGGCAUCGUUAUGAAGAUAAAGAGAGUUGCAAAAGUAUGUGAUAAACCUCAAGAACCAAUCGACAUUAUAAACAUUGAACUCCUCCAAAAGUGCAAAGUAUUAGCACGUAAGGUCCUCUCUACACAAGUAACUAACCAAUUGAGCUAGCAAAUCUUGUUCUUAUCAAAAACGGCGUCGUUACGAAGAGUAAUCUUGUGUUAGUUACCUGCAGUGUCUAACGACGCUCAAGAGCCCAUCGGUAGAGAACCCUAAGCACUUAUCAAGCUUCAGAACCUCGAGCUCAUCCCCCCUCGCUCUCGCCAAAACAUCAAGAUCCAAAUCACGCACGAUCAUCCUCCUGAAAUGCACCGACCUGAUCCUCCGGAGCGACAAGGCGAUCUCGUUCACCCAGGGGGUAACGAACCCUCCCCAAUUAUCGGGGAUGAGGUUGAACAUCGCGGCGCGAGGCUUCCCUUUGAGCAGGCCCGGCUCAAAAGAAUUUUGGGCCCUUGGCAAAAUAAUCAAAAAUUUUUUUUUUUACAUAAUUAUAUGAUAACUUAAAAAUUUCGGGCCUUAUCUUCAAUUUUUUUAAAAAUAUUGGGCCCCUUUUCAAUACUAUUUAUGCAAAAAAUCUUUUGGGCCCUAGGCCAAUGCCCCUUUGCCCACCCUCCUGAGCCGGGCCUGAUGGAAGAGAAAGAAAACGAAGAAGAAAGAGAAUGAUACUCACAAUGUCUUUUGGAUUUAUUGGUUAAGAAAUAUAUUAAAUUAAUUGAGAAAUAAAAAAGAGUAAUUUAGGAAUUUGGUGUGGUCUAUAUGUGAUGUUUAUUCUUGUUUCUUGUCCAAAACUGCCCUGAAAGCAAAAAGUGUUUUAUUAUGUUAUAAAAAACUUGAAACUGUUUUUGAAUUUGAAUGUAAUUCUUUCCUUGUAUUAUAUCAAGUAAAGCCAAUCUCUUUUGCUAAACGACUAUGUAAACAGAAUAUUAACAAGAUGUGGUUAUGCAAUGGAUGAUUACGUACGGCGUGAUGAUUAUUUAUUAGCUUAAUUCUGCGAUUAAUUUAAAACUUUUCUGGGGUUAAGGACAACGUUUUCUGUUGUUGAUAGCUAAAAGUAGUUUCCUGGUGGCCCAUAAUAGUUGGGGUUAAACUAUAUGAUUGUUAUGUAUGUAUGGAGCUAUGUGAAUUAUUAAAAAAAAUUGCAUGAUGAUGUAUAUAAAUCCAUAGAUGACUUCAUCAAACUGGCCAAUAAAAUACUAUCAAAAUUGAAUAUAAUUUGUGAAUUUUUAUGUAAAUAAAAGUUUCAUUUAAAUCAAUCAUAAAUUUUUAUGUUCUAAAAAUUGGUUUAGGUAUUGACUAUUGUCCGACUAGGCGGCACGGCAAAUUGGACCUAAAGGAUUUUUAUAGAAUGAUUUUUAAAAAAAAAAAUCGGUCUAAGCAUUCAAAAAAAUUAGUCUAGUCUUCCACCUAAGCAAUAAUCUUCUAUAAAGCAUUUAUUUUACCGCCUACAAUUUUUCGAAGAUUGGUCUUGGCAGUCCCGGCUCUAACCUAUGGCCACAUUGAUAAUUGCUAUGGAUCCAUGGAUCCAAACAAAAUUUUGGUAUUAUUUUACUAAUUAGAAAAUUCUAUUUUAAUUUGUUAAAUUAUCAAUUAGCUGGUGAAUUUAUAACAAAAAAGCUCAUGAUUAACAAAACCAAUUUUAAAUACAACAGGACAAUAUUUAUUUUUUUUAAACUUCACCGUUCUUAAUUUUUUUACAACAAAACCUAAUUUACACUUAAAGGUCCAUUUUUUUCUUUUAAUACCACAAAUUUUUUUUGCUCCAAUUUAAAGAAAUGCACUAAUUUUUUUGUUAAAAGGGUGUCUAUUUUAUGUUUGGCGUAAGGCCAUUAAAAUUUUUAAGACGGCACUGGUCUUGGUGUUAGGUUGAGAAACCAAAAUUGGGGAAGCUUUGCAACUUGAUGGUUCCUUGUGCUUUGACAGCACUUGACCAUUGGUCUCCACAAGUUAAAGUAAGUCCUUUGGUGUUGUAAUGGCAUUUUUCUCUUAUUAGUUGUAAACAUGAGGCCAUAUAGUGAAUGAGAAUAUGAUGUUCUUUGUUUGCUUUUGAUGACAGGGGCAGGGCAGGGUAAUAAGCUUUAUUCAUCUAAGCUAAAAAUGGUGAUCUUGGAUUGUAUGGAAACGUGUGGUUCUUGAUGCUUGUUGCCAGAAUAUAGCCUCAGAUGAUGAGAUGUGGAUACAUGUGGUGGAGUUAUCUGUGCUUCUUGUUACUAAACUCCAUCCAAAUAAUCCCGAAACAGUACAAGUUUUGUGAUCAAUCUUAUAUGUACUUUACCUUUGAAUGGUAUAACAACUACACCAACAUAAACUCUUGAAACCAUAUACACAAUUGAAAAUGAAAAAAUAGAGUCGCUGCACAUCAGAAACACCAUGACUUAUAUUUCACUGUAGUCCAAUGUAGAAAAAAAGUAAUGCCCAGGCCCCCCCUUACAAACAAGAAUCUAUGUAAUCUCUCAACACCACUAACAAUACAACAGUAAGAAGAAGAAGUAAAAGAAUCCAUUACACAGUUCAUGGAAGACUAAAGAUAUGACCAAAUCUUUUAUGUACAAACCUGCUUUGGAUCAUCAAUCAUAGCUCCCUCAGGACUCUAACAGUUGGUGGACAAUCUGUUCUCUGACCAGCCAGCGAGUAAUACGCCAGUAUAUGAGCAGGAUGCUCCAUCUCUCUCACAUCUCCUAGGUUCACUUCCGGGACUCUUCUUGCUUGAAUCAGCUCAAUGUUCCAGUUCGGUCGAGACAUUACCCUCAGAUCUUGUCCCGUCACCGAUUCUCUGUACCCUUGUACCCACAAGUAUCUC
rnacentral:lncRNA from 1 species